rnacentral:rRNA from 1 species
GACGAACGCUGGCGGCGUGCCUAAUACAUGCAAGUUGAGCGCUGAAGGUUGGUACUUGUACCAACUGGAUGAGCAGCGAACGGGUGAGUAACGCGUGGGGAAUCUGCCUUUGAGCGGGGGACAACAUUUGGAAACGAAUGCUAAUACCGCAUAAAAACUUUAAACACAAGUUUUAAGUUUGAAAGAUGCAAUUGCAUCACUCAAAGAUGAUCCCGCGUUGUAUUAGCUAGUUGGUGAGGUAAAGGCUCACCAAGGCGAUGAUACAUAGCCGACCUGAGAGGGUGAGCGGCCACAUUGGGACUGAGACACGGCCCAAACUCCUACGGGAGGCAGCAGUAGGGAAGCUUCGGCAAUGGACGAAAGUCUGACCGAGCAACGCCGCGUGAGUGAAGAAGGUUUUCGGAUCGUAAAACUCUGUUGGUAGAGAAGAACGUUGGUGAGAGUGGAAAGCUCAUCAAGUGACGGUAACUACCCAGAAAGGGACGGCUAACUACGUG